GACAGAGGGUGCAAACGUUGUUCGGAAUUACUGGGCGUAAAGCGCGUGUAGGCGGCUAUGCAAGUCGGGCGUGAAAUCCCACGGCUCAACCGUGGAAGUGCACUCGAAACUGCGUAGCUAGAGUCCCGGAGAGGAAGGUGGAAUACUUGGUGUAGAGGUGAAAUUCGUAGAUAUCAAGUGGAACACCGGUGGCGAAGGCGGCCUUCAGGACGGUGACUGACGCUGAGACGCGAAAGCGUGGGGAGCAAACAGG
rnacentral:rRNA from 1 species